rnacentral:lncRNA from 1 species
UUUUUUUUUAAUUUAUUUUACUUUAUUGAGAAAGGGUCCUGCUUUGCUGCCCAGACUGAUCUCAAACUCCAGGGCUCAGGUUAUCCUUCUGCCUCAGCCUCCUAAGUAGCAGGGACUACAGGCACAUACCGUCCCCCGUGAUUCAGAAAAAGAAACAGACGCAGGUACCCGAGGUAUAAUAGCAACAAAGGAUGGGAAUUCAUAACCUAUGCCUGCAUGGCUACUGAGCAUUGCCUUGUCUGCUGCCCACAUUACUCUGAUCCAUUUGGAACUAGCUAGUGCUUUUCAGCACUUGGCAAUUUUUCUCCCAUCUUCCUGUGGUAGUCUUUAGGCAAACUCAGGGAAUUACUCCAUGUGACUAAUCGGGAGGCCCAGAAUGAGUGUGUGAUCCCAUUCACCAGAGAUGGGCUUGCACACACAGGAGAGGCGGGAAUCUUCAUUGUAGCACCGUUGAGAACAGUGUAAGUCAAACAACAGAUCAUUCAGUGGACUUGCAUAGCAGUUAGUAGCUGAACCAGUGCUCCACACAUCUUGUGCUGCUGAACAGAAAAGCAGGGCAGAGCGUGCAGACUGGUGCCACGCCCACACAGCUAUUGAACAUUCAUAAAGACCAGAAACAUGAUCACACCAGUGUGUGGCACUGGACUUUGUAGGCAUCCCAUAGGCAGGGCAGCCUUGGCCAUGGGCCCAGGAAAGAAACAGAACCACACCCAGAAUCAAAAUGCAAGAUGUGUUUCUGGUCUUCAGGGCUUUUCUCUGGAAAUCCAGGUGCUCACUGGGAACAUGUGGCUGACCUGCUUCAUGUGGGUGCCAUUUCUAAUGACUUUUCUACAUCAUUUCUGUUAGUGGCCAGAACAGGUAUUUUUUUGGUUUCUGUCACAGUUCCUGGUUCAUGACUCUUAAUCGCCCUUGUUGGCUAAGUGAUUAUCCUGGUGCACAUCAGGCCCCAGAAGCAGCCUCAAGAAAGCAGAAUUUCUCUGCGAUCUCUCCCACUUUCCACCUACUCUUUUCUCUUUAUAAGGCAGGCCAUAGAAACUGUGGUCUUAAUUCUGUGACCUGCCUUGUCUGGUAGCAGGUGCUGUGUUUUGGAUCUGGAAUAUGCCUCCAAAGACCUGUGUGUGUGCUGAGGCUGGGUCCCCAGGUGGUGCAUUGUUGGGAGGUGGUGGAGCCUUUAGGAGGUGGGCCUGGUGAGUGGGGUAGGGUGUCCCUGAGGCAUCUUUUGUCCCUGUGGCCUGGCUGACAUGCGGUGAGCAGCUUUGCUGUCCCUCUCUGGCCCACCAUGAUGUUCUGCUUCCCCACAGGCUCAGAAGCAACAGCCAGGUGACCUUGGGCUGAAACUGUUAGCCAGAGUAAACCUUUCCCCUUUAAGUUGUGUUCCUCCUGCAUCUUGGCACAACAGGGUCCUGCCGGGACCUGCCACGAGGAAUGCUGGAGAUGUGAGCCCAUAGGCCAUCUCGGCCUCCCAUCUGGCCCUCCAGCUGUAGAUCUCCCUUGUGCCAGCUGCAUUCACAUGCUGUCCAUGCUUCAGUCGUGCCUAUGUCAUGAAGUUUCCAUAAAAUUCCAGUACCAGGCACAGUGGUAUGCCCCUGUGAUAACAGUGGCUUGGGAGGCUGAGGCAGGAGGAUCACGAGUUCAAAGCUAGAGCAACUUAGCAUGGCCUUAAGCAAAUUAGUGAUACCCUGUUUCUAAAAAAGUGCUGGGGGGAUGUCUCUCAGUGGGUUAAGCACCCCUGGGUUCCAUCCCCAGUACUGAAAACCAAAACAAAACAAAACUCCCACUCUGGUCUGCAGUUACACAGUAGGGUGACUAAAACAGUAAAGUCCUGUGC